AUAAAAAAUACUUUCGCCUUCUCAUUUUUCUCUCAUUUUUUUCCUACAUAGUAGCCCCAUUUUGACUCCAGAGUCUGUCUUUCUUAAUAUUCCAUAACCCUUCUGUGCUCCUUAUUAUCCUCUCUGCUUUCUUGGCUAGCAGGUAAGGAAGGAUUUGAGGUAAUGACUUUCCACAUAUUGCAGGGCUAUGUCACUCUUACCCUGAAGUAAACGUUAUUUGUGUGAACUGGCAUUUGUUUUUCAUUUGCUGCUUUCUAAUUCUUAUUCCGUCACCUCAGAAACUUGCUCUCUUAACUUGUCCCUAAGCUAAUAACAUUUUAUUCUGAAAUAAGUAUUAAUACCUAACAUUUAAUAUUAAUUCUGUCCUAUGUGCAACUUACAAAUACGUCAUAUAAGUAUAUAAAUUGACUUUACCUAUUAUAUGCAGAAAUUGAAGGGGGGAAUUUCUGUGUUUCUAGCUUUCUUGUUAAUGUGAAGGGUGGGGCAUUUUAUGUUUUUUCAGGAUUGCCUUAUUCAAUGAAGCAAGCUGGGUUUCCUUUGGGAAUAUUGCUUUUAUUCUGGGUUUCAUAUGUUACAGACUUUUCCCUUGUUUUAUUGAUAAAAGGAGGGGCCCUCUCUGGAACAGAUACCUACCAGUCUUUGGUCAAUAAAACUUUCGGCUUUCCAGGGUAUCUGCUCCUCUCUGUUCUUCAGUUUUUGUAUCCUUUUAUAGCAAUGAUAAGUUACAAUAUAAUAGCUGGAGAUACUUUGAGCAAAGUUUUUCAAAGAAUCCCAGGAGGUAAGCC
rnacentral:lncRNA from 1 species